rnacentral:rRNA from 7 species
AAAACUUUCAACAACGGAUCUCUUGGUUCUGGCAUCGAUGAAGAACGCAGCGAACUGCGAUAAGUAAUGCGAAUUGCAGAAUUCAGCGAGCCAUCGAAUCUUUGAACGCACAUUGCGCCCGCCAGUAUUCUGGCGGGCAUGCCUGUCCGAGCGUCAUUU